UACGAAGGGGGCUAGCGUUGCUCGGAAUGACUGGGCGUAAAGGGCGCGUAGGCGGCUUGCACCGUCAGAUGUGAAAUUCCUGGGCUUAACCUGGGGGCUGCAUUUGAUACGUGUGGGCUUGAGUGCGGAAGAGGGUCGUGGAAUUCCCAGUGUAGAGGUGAAAUUCGUAGAUAUCGGGAGGAACACCAGUGGCGAAGGCGGCGACCUGGGCCAAUAUUGACGCUGAGGUGCGAAAGCGUGGGGAGCAAACAGG
rnacentral:rRNA from 1 species